rnacentral:lncRNA from 10 species
UUCUUCUCUUUUCUAGUCAAAAUCACUGCUCAAGAGGACGUAUUGUAUUCCACAAUUAUAAAUAAACCUUGUAGGUUGACAACCUUAAAAUGUAUUAUGCUUAUCAUGAUUGCUCUUUUUAAAUAUCUUUAGAAUCUUUUCCUCUGUUCAUCGAUAAAAUGUUAGUUUCCUCCAGUGUUUUGUUAGACUCAGUCUGCUUUUCUCCUUUACUCUAGUCAUUUUACAUAGACAGUCUCACCUAGUCCCAUGAUUUUAACCACCAUCCAUAUUCAGCUAUUACUUUCGGAGUCUUUCUUCCACCAGUGCCUCAAUUUUAGUUUUUUCUUUGUUGUUGUUCACAGUGAUCCACGCAGACAUAAAACAAUAAUGUGCCUGCUAAGAUGUUGGUUUACAUGUCCCAAUCUAUUCUUACUUAGUUUACACAUAAUCUGCUAAUGAACCGUAAUUCAACCCAAAAAGGCUAUUGCUG